rnacentral:rRNA from 1 species
CCUACGGGAGGCAGCAGUGGGGAAUAUUGCGCAAUGGGCGAAAGCCUGACGCAGCGACGCCGCGUGAGGGAUGAAGGUCUUCGGAUCGUAAACCUCUGUCAGCAGGGAAGAACGGUCACUGUGCUAAUCAGCAGUGAAUUGACGGUACCUGCAAAGGAAGCACCGGCUAACUCCGUGCCAGCAGCCGCGGUAAUACGGAGGGUGCGAGCGUUAAUCGGAAUUACUGGGCGUAAAGCGCACGUAGGCGGUAUGUCAAGUCAAGGGUGAAAUCCCCGGGCUCAACGUGGGAACUGCCUUUGAAACUGGCAAACUGGAGUGUGGGAGAGGAUAGUGGAAUUCCAGGUGUAGGAGUGAAAUGCGUAGAUAUCUGGAGGAACAUCAGUGGCGAAGGCGACUAUCUGGCACAUAACUGACGCUGAGGAGCGAAAGCGUGGGUAGCAAACAGGAUUAGAUACCCUUGUAGUC